GGAUAUGAGGGUAAUCUGGCUGUGACAUCUGUCACCCCAUUGAUCACCAGGGUUGAUUCGGCUGAUCUGGCUGGCUAGGUGGAUAUUCCCUUCCUCUCUCAACACUCCACAUGCGUCCCUCCCAAAGCUGCGGGCUCAGUCGAGGAGGACGACCUUUGCCAAUAGAAGAAGGGUAUAGGAGUACCUGCACUGCCCUGCUGAACCUCCAAACAAGCUCUCGAGGUCCAAAUGUAUUUUUCUAAUGUAGUUUUGUAAGCUGCUUUUAGAUCUUCAGGUAACAGGUGA
rnacentral:snRNA from 1 species